ensembl:lncRNA
CUGUAUUACACUUUGUUGCAAAAGGUGCUCAUAUGGCAUACAUUUGUGUGUAUUGUUUUUCAAGGAUUCAAGGAUUCUGGAUAUGUUGCAGGAGAACAGCCAAGCCAAGAGACUGAUGUUAUUUGUAUGCAUGGAAGAGGGCCGAAGUUCCACAAAGAGCAGCAGUGCUGUACAAGGUUUGCUGCAUGAAAAAGAAACUGAACCACCACUGAAGUUCAGAAUGGAUAUAAGAGAGGACGUGGAAGAUCAGGAGGAAAGAAUAAUCAGCUUUUAUAAGGUCCCUAAAAUAGACUGGGCCAGACCACUCUAUUGCAAACUGGAAGGUGAUGUAGCCACUGGAGAGGGUAUUAAACGCCAUCUCUUCAGCCUUGUAAUGCACAAAUUGCGAAGUGGAUUCAUCACAGAUUUUGGUUAGUCGUUCAAAUAGUGUUCUUAUAAAAGAGGUGCACUUUUCUGUGCA